rnacentral:misc_RNA from 1 species
GGAAGUAACAGAGAAGAGAACAAGAAGAAAGAAGGAAGAGGAGGAAGAGAAGGAAGAGGAGGAGGAAGAAGAGGAAGAAGAAGAGGAAGAAGAGGAAGAAGAGGAAGAGGAAGAGGAGAAAUUAUUUACAUCUUCAAUAAACUAAGUUCAAGUUUAGCAAGGAUGACUACGCUAGCAAGGAGAAAUUCUUCCAUACACAAGAUACGUGAAUACCAGCUGGACAAGAUAAGGCUGGAGGACGAGUAUGAGGUGGUGCAGGCGCUGCAGGAGGGCUGGCGGGGGCGGCUGUUACUAGUGGAGCAUCGCAGGACGGGACACGAGGUGGUGCUGAAGGCCAUCCACAAAGCUUCAUCCUCUAGACUUGACUUCUUUAGAGAGUUCCACUACAACUACUACCUGUCCCCGCAUCUCAACAUCCUCAAUGCUUACGAUGUGGCCUUUGAGACAGACGACCACUAUAUGUUCGCCCAGGAGUACGCACCGCUGGGAGACCUCACCACGAACCUCUCUGAUUGUGGCCUGGGGGAGAUAUUCACCAAACGCAUCACACGCCAGCUCGCCUCUGCUCUAGACUUCAUGCACUCUAAGGAACUGGUGCACCGAGACCUCAACAUGGACAAUAUUCUGGUGUUUAAGAGUGACUUCAGCCAUGUCAAAGUGUGUGAUUUCGGCUCCACCAGGAAGAAGGGCACGCUGUUGAAGAAGAGAACGGUAUGGCUGCCUUAUGCCCCGCCAGAGAUCGUGGACGCUGUGCAGAAUGAAGGCUUCCAUGCUGACCCUGCCCAGGACGUGUGGCAGCUGGGCAUCCUGGUGUACGUGCUGCUGACGGGGCAGCUGCCGUGGCAGAAGGCAGACGUGACGGACCCGCACUACGCGGAGUACCUGCACUGGCGCAAGCGGCGCACUCUCCGCACACCAAAACGCUUCGCAAACUUCACGUCGCGGCUGCUGCGGAUGCUGAAGCGCCUGCUGGAGCCCAAGCCGGAGAAGCGCGCGGCGGCCAAGGAGGCGUACAAGUACCUCGAGGACCGCUGGGUGGUGCGCGGAGGUGGCGGCGGCGUGGGCGGCGGGCGGCGGGACGUGGGGGACAUUGACGGCCAGAGCGUGUGCUACUCCACCUUCUCGGCGCACUCCUGCCCCAGGGAGAAGGACCGCGUGCUGGGGGCGCUCAAGGCACACGGCAUCGAGACCACCGUGGACCGCGUGGCCAAGCGCCAGCGCAUCCACGAGUGGCUGGAGCGCUCCCUGCUGGGCGUGCCCGCCGUGACGGGGCCCCGCGGCGAGACGCACCAGCCCACCCACCCACACCAGCACCACCACCAGCACCACCACCAGCUGCACCACGUGACGGAGCCCAUAGCCACACGCAGCCAGCAGUACCAGGAGUUCGCAGCGCUGGCGGUGAAGGUGGCGCAGGCCAAGGUGCCGCGCGACGCCAACCACAACACCCACAACACCCACAACACUCACCACUCACACGACUCCGCCAAGCGACACUCACACACCGACAAGGACGACAGGACCUUCCUCCCCCUGCAGCGCAGCAGGACCGACUCCUUCCUGCUGGGCGGGGCGCCGCGCCGCGCCCACUCCAGGGAAACCAGCCCAGACUCAGACGACACGGGCGGCGCAGACACCAUGGAAAGCCUCAAGGCACCGCUGCGCCCGCCGCCCCCGCCGCCGCCACAACGCUAGCACACCCCGCCCACCCACACACACACACACACACACACACACACACACACACACACACACACAAUGGUCCAUAUCUUCCCCAGUGUAGGUGUAAGGCGUGGCCACCACCAAGGGCCAUGAGAUAAUGAUGUACGAGAUGCCUUACCCUCAACACAACACCUCAACUAUGCAAUGCCUGUGUGUGUGUGUGUGUGUGUGUGUGUGUGUGUGUGUGUGUGUGUGUGUGUGUGUGUGUGUGUGUGUGUGUGUGUGUGUGUGUGUGUG